UGAUCGUCUACUUCGGCUGUGCCACUUGCAACUAAAUCAAGCAACUGUCUUGGUAUCAUUCCUCCACCUCCACUACUACCCCCUUCCUUUUUCUCACAGUAACAAUUCGUUUUCUUCAAUAUUACCUCAUGAUUUUCUGUGGUGGUCUCGGAAACUUGCUGUUUCUGUUGGUGUUGCAUUAAUGCGGCAACUUGCAUUUGCAAAUUCAUGUAGCUACUUCUCAUAUGGUUGAGCGUCUCCUUUAGCUUU